UACGUAGGGGGCAAGCGUUGUCCGGAAUCAUUGGGUGUAAAGCGCGUGUAGGCGGCCCGAUAAGUCCGCUGUGAAAGUCCAGGGCUCAACCCUGGGAUGCCGGUGGAUACUGUCGGGCUCGAGUCCGGAAGAGGCGAGUGGAAUCCUGGUGUAGCGGUGGAAUGCGCAGAUAUCAGGAAGAACACCAACGGCGAAGGCAGCUCGCUGGGACGGUACUGACGCUGAGACGCGAAAGCGUGGGGAGCGAACAGG
rnacentral:rRNA from 1 species